UCUCUUCCCUCUCUCGCUACCCCAGUGUUGGGUUUCUUAUGAAGCCGUGGAGAGACAAUGACAGCAUACUGGGGAUCAAACACUUCUACCCAGGAAAUUUUAAUCAUUGGAGCACCACCAGCUUUUUUUCCCAUCAGUUGUUGCCAGGCAACAGACGGCCCGUCUGCCCUCGACUUUUGUCCUGUGAUCAUUCAGCUCUGCAGGGACCCGUGUCAGGUAUCCCCCCUCAAAGAGAGCCUGUGUGCAAGUAGGUGAACACAUGGUCCAGGAACAGCCCAAAAGAAACUUCAGGACUACUCACUAUAGAAAGUUGAAAGAAGGCAGAUGGCCUGAGCUUUAUUUUUCUAGUGAACAAUUUCCUCUCAAUCUAAGGGGUUCUAAUGGAAAGACCCUGAAUUAAAACAUGUGUGAAAGUACAAUUUACCCCUUCGUUUCUCACCCAGGCAGAACAACCUCAGCGAACCACACUGAAAAGAGAAUUUGUCUUUUUAUGAAGCAAAUUAAUGCAGACGUUUUUCCAUCCAGUAAAAAAAAAUUAGACCCGCUCCCUCUUCCAGCAAAGCUCAGUGUUGGCCACAUCUGCUCUGCUGGAAUUACCAGUGGCUAAUGUUAGGUUGUUGAUUUCAGCAGUUGUUGCAACAGUGCGGUUUUGACAGUCAACAAAUAGCUUCUCAGAUGUUCCAAACAUCAAGACACUGGAGUGAUGCCUCUCCUCCCUCGAAUGCACCACAUGAUAUAAUGCUGGAGCAUUUCCAUGGCAAUUCAUCCACUGGUUGUAGAGACAUUUUAUUCAAAACCACAAGUGUCAACCUCAUGGUGGCGCUAGAAGGGAUUCAUAGUCUGGGAACCACUAAUGUCUGUACAAAAUUUCAUGGCAAUACAUCUAGUAGUUAUUGAGACAUUGCAGUCUCAAUCAAGUGGUGGACCACCUGGCUGACAUUGCUGUACUCAGAGAAAUGUUGCCAGCAUGGCUAAAAAAGAACAGACAGUGUUUUCUUGGUGUUUAGUACGUGGAAUAAAUCACCAGAUGUAUGAGUCUGUUCUUGCCAUUUUACCCCAUAAGUGGCCCAUCCUAUGAGAGACUACAUAAUAGAUCUGUGAAGAUCAGAAAAACAAAUACAAGCACGCCAUGAUGUUUAUAAAAAAAAAGAGACAUCAAUUAUCUGUCACAGCUCUGAUUAUGUUUAAUCUUGGUCACACAUUGUUAUGGCAACCAACAAAAGAGAAGGAAUCUCUCCUACCAGUCUAAAAAUUAACAAGUGUUGAUUAUUCUCACACAAGCAAUCCAUUUCAUGUUUGAAAACCAGUCAUAUAAAAAUACCCUGGACCCAUAAAACAGCGGGAUUCAAGGGCUGGUGUUUUUAUAAUUUAAGCCAAAGCUCAUUCCUGCUAAUGACCAGAGUGGGAGUGUUUAGCAGGGACGGUACAUGUGUGCUGCACACAGUGUCAGUCCGACUGAUGUGAUCUGCAGCGGCUGUAGAAAAUAAGAUCAAGUAAGAUAAAAAAAAAAGAAAAUCAACAGCUACAAAUGGGUUUAAUUAGAGCAUGAUGGCACAUUGUCCACUAAAAUGUACGCUGCCUAUAAGUUCAGUAUAGGUCUGAUUGUAAUUAUGCAUUUCUGUCUGUUCACACAUUUUGGUACUGGAGAUGUGACAGAGGGGUGGAAGGGUAGUUCUUUUAGAUACUUGGCUGCCCAGGAUUGGAAUAAGGUUCCUAAUAGCGUUAAACAGAUUACAAACCCAGUCACGUUCAAGGCAAAACUAAAACACUGGCUUUUAGAUAACGUGCCCCUGUAAAGACAGUUUUGUAGGCAGGGUUGUAUGAAGCUCAUUUACUGGACCAGUUUUAGUAUAAUAAGAAGUAUGUACUUUAGCUUGUUGUCAGAAUAAUGCCUGUUAAUGUGAAUAUUUUCUGUAUAAUGAUGUUUUUUUGUGCUUUUAUAUGCCACUAAUACCAUACUCCACUAUCCCCACGUGCACAUACACAAACACACAUGCACACACCUCCACGACAUCUAACUAUGACAAGGACCACAAUGGAAAUAAGUCUUUUUUUGUGUUAUCCUUGAUGCUCUUUUAAUUGUGUAUGCAGAUGGUGUUGCAACCUUUUAAUCUGUCCUUUUAAAGUGAAAAAAAUUAAAAAACUAAACUAAAAAAAAGACCAGUGUUUUCAAGCAAAUAUAAAAAGGGAAGAGAAGCUGCCAUGAUACAUUAUGCUAUAUAUUUGGCAGUAAACUCUUAUAUUACACUGGAAUACAAUUUUUUCCAGUAUAUGUUUUGUUAUUUGCUGUUUUGUUAUCUGUAAAUAUUGCAUCUGAAAAUGGACAAUAUGAAUAUCUAUGAACAAUAGAAACACCAAUGUUUGUAAAACUGUGCAGU